rnacentral:rRNA from 1 species
AGAGUUUGAUCCUGGCUCAGAUUGAACGCUGGCGGCAUGCUAACACAUGCAAGUCGAACGGUAACAGGUCUUCGGAUGCUGACGAGUGGCGGACGGGUGAGUAACGCGUAGGAAUCUGUCUUUGAGUGGGGGACAACCCAGGGAAACUUGGGCUAAUACCGCAUAAGCCCUGAGGGGGAAAGCGGGGGAUCUUCGGACCUCGCGCUGGAAGAGGAGCCUACGUCUGAUUAGCUAGUUGGNAGGGUAAAGGCCUACCAAGGCGACGAUCGGUAGCUGGUCUGAGAGGACGACCAGCCACACUGGGACUGAGACACGGCCCAGACUCCUACGGGAGGCAGCAGUGGGGAAUUUUUCGCAAUGGGGGCAACCCUGACGAAGCAAUGCCGCGUGAAUGAAGAAGGCCUUCGGGUUGUAAAGUUCUUUCGUGGAGGACGAAAAGGUAGGUGCUAAUAUCGCCUGCUGUUGACGUGAAUCCAAGAAGAAGCACCGGCUAACUCCGUGCCAGCAGCCGCGGUAAUACGGGGGGGUGCAAGCGUUAAUCGGAAUCACUGGGCGUAAAGGGUGCGUAGGCGGUGCAUUAGGUCUGUCGUGAAAUCCCCGGGCUCAACCUGGGGAAUGGC